rnacentral:misc_RNA from 1 species
GAUGAAGAACGUAGCGAAAUGCGAUACUUGGUGUGAAUUGCAGAAUCCCGUGAACCAUCGAGUCUUUGAACGCAAGUUGCGCCCGAAGCCAUCAGGUUGAGGGCACGUCUGCCUGGGCGUCACAUAUUGUUGCCCAAUGCCUAUUGCAGUGCAAUAGGAAUUUCUAGGGCGAAUGAUGGCUUCCCGUGAGCGUUGUUGCCUCGCGGUUGGUUGAAAAUCGAGUCCUUGGUAGGGUGUGCCAUGGUAGAUGGUGGUCGAGUUAGAACGAUACCGAUCAUGUGCAUGCUCCCCAAAAUAUGGCCUCUAUGACCCACACGCGUCUUUUGACGCUCAUGACGAGACCUCAGGUCAGGCGGGGCUACCCGCUGAAUUUAAGCAUAUCAAUAAGCGGAGGA